rnacentral:rRNA from 1 species
CGGAGGAAAAGAAACUAACAAGGAUUCCCCUAGUAACGGCGAGUGAAGCGGGAAGAGCUCAAAUUUGAAAUCUGGCAGUCUUCGAUUGUCCGAGUUGUAAUCUAUAGAGGCGUUUUCCGUGCCGGACCGUGUCCAAGUCUCCUGGAAAGGAGUAUCAAAGAGGGUGAUAAUCCCGUACUUAACACGACCACCGGUGCUCUGUGAUACGUCUUCUACGAGUCGAGUUGUUUGGGAAUGCAGCUCAAAAUGGGUGGUGAAUUCCAUCUAAAGCUAAAUAUUGGCGAGAGACCGAUAGCGAACAAGUACCGUGAGGGAAAGAUGAAAAGCACUUUGGAAAGAGAGUUAAACAGUACGUGAAAUUGUUGAAAGGGAAACGAUUGAAGUCAGUCGUGUUCUUUGGAUUCAGCCAGUUCUGCUGGUCUACUUCCUUGGAACGGGUCAACAUCAGUUUUGUCCGGUGGAUAAAGGUAGUAGGAAUGUGACUUCUCCGGAAGUGUUAUAGCCUAUUAUCACAUACACUGGGUGAGACUGAGGACUGCAGCUCGCCUUUAUGGCCGGCCUUCGGGCACGUUCGAGCUUAGGAUGUUGACAUAAUGGCUUUAAACGACCCGUCUU